AUCCAGGACCACCAGCAGGGAGCCUGGGAAGUUAGGCGGAGCUCAUCUUACGAAAGGCUUUAAAAAUCAGAGACUCUAUACUUUAAUCAGUGGCCAUCCUUGGCUCUGCAGAAGAGAGGAGAAUAUAAACUUUUGUCCCUUCGGGUGUGAGACCCUGCAUAUGUCAUCAGACUCGGUAUGUCCUACAGGUUGGCCAGAGGACUGCAGCCCAAGGAAUGGUUCACUGGUAGGGAGCCAUAUUAUCAUCUUUUGUUUUUAUAUCGUCUGCAUUUCCAAUGUGAAAAUGAAGCUCCCUCCACAAGGUUCCUGAUCUGCCUGCAGGGCAGAAAAGAAAUGUCAUUUACCAGCUUCCUUCACAGAUCUCCUCACCUAAGCUACCUAAGACCCCAAGAGGUCUCCACCAUGUGACCAAACCCUUAAAGAAAUUGAAAAACUCCCUGAAUUCAUUCCUUAAUGAUGAACAAACUUCUACCCAAUCAUACCCAUCCCAAUGAUUCUGAAAACCUGACUCACUAUUCCGCCGUCUUCCAUCCACAGCUCAUUCUCUUAAUCUUGUUCUUUUCAGCCCAACUCCCCCCAACCAUGUCCCACUCUAAAGCUUUUUACCCCUUACACUGUGGUCUCUGGAAUACCUGCUCCAUAGAGCAAAUUUGCUUUCAUCUUUUAAAAAAUAAUUUUCAUAUUUUUCCCAAUUACAUUUAG